GUUUGUCUUCUGUGCCCCCACGUGCACAUAUACAUAUAUUCACUUCCCAUCCCCAACAGGAGAGAAGCUUCUGGAGGGCAGGAGCCAUCUGGUCUUGUUGGCCACUUUGUUCCCAGAGCUUAAACUGAGCUGGCACAAGCUCCUCCUCCUUAAAAUGGAAAUGAUGACAGUACCGCCUCCUCAUGUUGUGGUUCAUGCACGUAACGUACUUAGAACAGUGCCUGGUACAGAGAAAGCACUCAGACACACUUGUUUGAGUUACCUGUGAUCAACUGCAGCCCCAAAAUAGCAAAUGGAAGAACUCCAGAAAUAAUUCAUACAUGAAACUGUGUUCCAUCCUGUGUAGCGUGAUGAAAUCUCCCACUGUCCCGCUGUGUCUACCCGCCUCCCCGGGACGUGAAUCAUCCCUUUGUCCAGCGGAUCCUGCCCCUGAGUCACUUAGUGGCUAUCUCAGUUAUCAGAUGGACCGUCGUGAUAUCUGAUGCUUCUG